AAAUUGUCUGACGCGAGUGAUUUUUAUUGAAAGUUAGUCUAGCUACAUCUACAUGCGUUACUCGCUUUUUGACACUCUUCACCUAAAUCCUUUCUUCUAAGGUAAAUCUUGCAAUAGCAAUCGAUCGAAAAUCUAUUGUUUGAGGCAGAAAAUAAAUAAAACAACCCCUGCAGAGUAUCAUCAGUUGACCGACUUUCCGAUGGCAUCGACACAUUUCCAUGACAAAGGGGGCCAAUCACUGUCCGAUCUGAUGAUAAAUGCGUGGUGAAAUCAUUAUCUGAUAAACAUUUAGAUUUCAUAUAAAUACUCGCUGUACCGGCCUUAACACAAUAACAAAUUCGAGUGAUAGUGACUAACAAGCCGACUCAAGCAGUCCCAGUGUAUUUAAUAAAUUAAAUUUUCAUCUGAAAAUAUUACUAAUCAACAUGCAGCGCAACCCAGCCUUCUCUUCCACCAUGAACAACGGUUACCCAAGCUACUGCAUCGCUCCCAGUCCCUGCGUUGGACCACCAAGAAACCAGUUCUACCCCAACGGACCGGCACCACAGGCCUUCCAGCCUAAUACCUGCUUCAUGACCGCCUCCGUGAUCCGAAAAAUGAGCAAUAACACCCCCCCAAAGGGGUACGGCCGCAAUUUCUAAGCAGACGAAAGCCUCAAGCAAUUUUCUUGGAAUCUCGAGUAGUUUGUAAACCCGUUUCGGCUACUGUUUACUGCUAGAUUAGGUUAAUUAAUCUCAGUUAAUUUAUUUUGUAAGCGUUAUUAAUUUAAGCGUACUGAUUUAUUUAUUACAAUUUAAAUUAAUGUAAAACUUAUUGCCAUCAAGCACAUUUGAAUCACAAUUUUCAUAAUGCUCGUCAUUUAAGCAGUUUUAUACAUAAGAACAGUUUUUCAAUAAAUUAUUUAAAUCCUA